rnacentral:rRNA from 1 species
AGAGANAAGACCAACAGGGAUUACCUCAGUAACGGCGAGUGAAGCGGUAACAGCUCAAAUUUGAAAUCUGGGCCCCUCGGGCCCCGAGUUGUAAUUUGUAGAAGAUGCUUCGGGUGCGGCUCCGGUCUAAGUUCCUUGGAACAGGACGUCAUAGAGGGUGAGAAUCCCGUAUGUGAUCGGCUGCCUGCGCCCGUGUGAAGCUCUUUCGACGAGUCGAGUUGUUUGGGAAUGCAGCUCUAAAUGGGUGGUAAAUUUCAUCUAAAGCUAAAUACUGGCCAGAGACCGAUAGCGCACAAGUAGAGUGAUCGAAAGAUGAAAAGCACUUUGGAAAGAGAGUUAAACAGUACGUGAAAUUGUUGAAAGGGAAGCGCUUGCAAUCAGACUUGCGCGUUGCCGAUCAUCCGGGGUUCUCCCCGGUGCACUCGGCCUCGCUCAGGCCAGCAUCGGUUUCGGUGGUGGGAUAAAGGCCGCGGGAAUGUAGCUCCUCUCGGGGAGUGUUAUAGCCCGCGGUGCAAUGCCGCCUACCGGGACCGAGGACCGCGCUUCGGCUAGGAUGCUGGCGUAAUGGUUGUAAGCGACCCGUCUUGAAACACGGACCAAGGAGUCUAACAUCUAUGCGAGUUGGGGGGGUGGGAAA